UACGUAGGGGGCGAGCGUUGUCCGGAUUUAUUGGGCGUAAAGAGCGUGUAGGCGGCCAGGUAGGUCUGCUGUGAAAACUCGAGGCUCAACCUCGAGACGUCGGCGGAAACCAUCUGGCUAGAGUCCGGAAGAGGCGAGUGGAAUUCCUGGUGUAGCGGUGAAAUGCGCAGAUAUCAGGAGGAACACCAAUUGCGAAGGCAGCUCGCUGGGACGUUACUGACGCUGAGACGCGAAAGCGUGGGGAGCAAACAGG
rnacentral:rRNA from 1 species